rnacentral:tRNA from 1 species
GGCUGAAUAGCUCGUUGGUAAGAGCAGUCGCCCGGCAAGCGAAAGACUCGGGUUCGAUUCCCGAUUCAGCGA